GAUGAACGCUGGCGGCGUGCUUAACACAUGCAAGUCGAACGAUGAAGCCCAGCUUGCUGGGUGGAUUAGUGGCGAACGGGUGAGUAACACGUGAGUAACCUGCCCUUGACUCUGGGAUAAGCCUGGGAAACUGGGUCUAAUACUGGAUAUGACUUCUCAUCGCAUGGUGGGGGGUGGAGAGAUUUAUUGGUCUUGGAUGGACUCGCGGCCUAUCAGCUUGUUGGUGAGGUAAUGGCUCACCAAGGCGACGACGGGUAGCCGGCCUGAGAGGGUGACCGGCCACACUGGGACUGAGACACGGCCCAGACUCCUACGGGAGGCAGCAGUGGGGAAUAUUGCACAAUGGGCGCAAGCCUGAUGCAGCGACGCCGCGUGAGGGAUGACGGCCUUCGGGUUGUAAACCUCUUUCAGUAGGGAAGAAGCGAGAGUGACGGUACCUGCGGAAGAAGCGCCGGCUAACUACGUG
rnacentral:rRNA from 1 species